rnacentral:rRNA from 1 species
AUGAAGCUUUUAGAAUACACCCCGUUCGACUGUGUAAAUGUGUUCGUUGAUCAACUAAACCUUGGUGAAUGUACAAUCAUGGGGAGCCUUGAAGCCUUCUCAUGGAAAUAA